AGUUUAUGGUUUAGAACCCUAAUGCUGACUGAAUGAAAAAAAGUUCAGUUUAGGGUUUAAAACCCUAAUGCUGACUAAAGGAAAAAUUCAGUUUAGGGUUUAAAACCCUAAUGAUGAUUGCAUGGAAAAACUCAGUUUAGGGUUUAAAACCAUAAUGUUGGCUGAAUGGAAAAAAGUUCAGUUUAGGGUUUAAAACCCUAAUGCUAAUUGCAUGGAAAAGCUCAGUUUAGGGUUUAAAACCCUAAUGCUGGCUGAAUGGAAAAACGUUCAGUUUAGGGUUUAAAACCCUAAUGCUGAUUGCAUGGAAAAGCUCAGUUUAGGGUUUAAAACCCUAAUGCUGGCUGAAUGGAAAAAAGUUCAGUUUAGGGUUUAAAACCCUAAUGCUGAUUGCAGGAAAAAGUUCAGUUUAGGGUUUAAAACCCUAAUGCUGACUAAAGGAAAAGUUCAGUUUAGGGUUUAAAACCCUAAUGCUAACUGAAAGGAAAGAGUUCAGUUUAGGGUUUAAAACCCUAAUGCUGAUUGCAUGGAAAAGCUCAUAUUAGGGUUUAAAACCCUAAUGCUGGCUGAAUGGAAAAAAGUUUAGUUUAGGGUUUAAAACCCUAAUGCUGACUAAAGGAAGAAGUUCAGUUUAGGGUUUAAAACCCUAAUGCUGAUUGCAUGAAAAAGCUCAGUUUAGGGUUUAAAACCCUAAUGAUGGCUAAAUGGAAAAAAGUUCAUUUUUUUAGCGUUUAAAACCCUAAUGCUGACUAAAGGAAGAAGUUCAGUUUAGGGUUUAAAACACUAACGCUGAUUGCAUGGAAAAGCUCAGUUUAGGGUUUAAAACCCUAAUGCUGGCUAAAUGGAAAAAAGUUCAGUUUAGGGGUUUAAAACCCUAAUGCUGAUUAAAGGAAAAAGUUCAGUUUAGGUUUUAAAACCCUAAUGCUGACUGAAUGGAAAAAAGUUCAGUUUAGGGUUUAAAACCCUAAUGCUGACUAUAGGAAAAAUUCAGUUUAGGGUUUAAA
rnacentral:lncRNA from 1 species